rnacentral:rRNA from 1 species
GCUUUUUUAGAGUUUUGGAUCUGGCUCAGAUUGAACGCUGGCGGCAGGCCUAACACAUGCAAGUCGAGCGGUAGAGAGAAGCUUGCUUCUCUUGAGAGCGGCGGACGGGUGAGUAAUGCCUAGGAAUCUGCCUGGUAGUGGGGGAUAACGUUCGGAAACGGACGCUAAUACCGCAUACGUCCUACGGGAGAAAGCAGGGGACCUUCGGGCCUUGCGCUAUCAGAUGAGCCUAGGUCGGAUUAGCUAGUUGGUGAGGUAAUGGCUCACCAAGGCGACGAUCCGUAACUGGUCUGAGAGGAUGAUCAGUCACACUGGAACUGAGACACGGUCCAGACUCCUACGGGAGGCAGCAGUGGGGAAUAUUGGACAAUGGGCGAAAGCCUGAUCCAGCCAUGCCGCGUGUGUGAAGAAGGUCUUCGGAUUGUAAAGCACUUUAAGUUGGGAGGAAGGGCAGUUACCUAAUACGUGAUUGUUUUGACGUUACCGACAGAAUAAGCACCGGCUACU